rnacentral:lncRNA from 1 species
AUGUGAUUUUGUAAUCUCCAAGUGAAUUGAGCGCAUCAUCCCUUGUAGAAUAUGUAAUUGCCAAAGCACCAGUUCCACUCUUUGAAACUCCAUCAGCAACAUGAAGUUUAGCAGCCUUCAAAUCUUCAAACGAGCUCUGAAGAGACUAUCAUUCGGAGCUGAAGUAUGUUGUGAUUUAACACUAUCUAAUCCUUGACAAAAAACAUAAGAUUUUUCUAUUGAUUCAACUUUGUUUGCAACAUCAACCUGCUGCAUUGUUAUAGCAUCCAAUAGUUGUUUCUAGAAAUUAAUCUUUGGGGGUUUGAUUUUUAUGCUGUUCGGAAGUAGAAUCCAAAGCAUGAGCUCGAUUUGGUGAAUGUUUGUUCGAUAAUCGGAUUUUCUGUGUUGAGGCACGAAGAACAACUUCAGUUUCUGGGAUUGAGUUUGAAGCUGCGUAGCCUUUGAGCUCGAUUUGGUGAAGGUUUGUUCGAUAAUGGGAUUUUCUCGUGUCGAGUCUCGAAGAACAAAUUCAAUUAUUGGGAUUGAGUUUGAAGUGGCGUAGCAUACGCAUCGUCCCUACGCGUCAAUACGUAUUCGAUUCUAGAAGGCAUCAUGUUUGAUUCUUCUAAGCCGAAAGUUAGUUUUAUGUGCUGAAAAUUUUGAAGAAAGUUUGAGGUGUAGCGGAACUUCGACUCGAUCAUAUGAGUUAAUCGAUUUGAAUGAAUUCGGCUCGCAUUGCUUACUACUUUGUUUCUGAAUAUUGAGCUAAAAUUGAUCUUGGUAUUCCUUGUUGUUGGAUUUGAUAGUGUGUAUUGCUGUUGAAGUCUAAUUCGUUGUUGCAUCAGUUGGAUUAACUUGUGAUCUUUGAGAAAAUGUAUUCAUUCUGUCCAAAACUCUGAACUUGUAAAAAAACUGAAUUCACUCUUGUUUAAUUGUACUAUCUUUGACAUAAGAUUCGUGUGAUACCCAGGGGUCACAAUUGAGGAAGGUUGCUAGUGUUGGAGACUGGAUAUUGGAUUCC